GAUGAACGCUGGCGGCGUGCCUAAUACAUGCAAGUCGAGCGAACGGACGAGAAGCUUGCUUCUCUGAUGUUAGCGGCGGACGGGUGAGUAACACGUGGAUAACCUACCUAUAAGACUGGGAUAACUUCGGGAAACCGGAGCUAAUACCGGAUAAUAUUUUGAACCGCAUGGUUCAAAAGUGAAAGACGGUCUUGCUGUCACUUAUAGAUGGAUCCGCGCUGCAUUAGCUAGUUGGUAAGGUAACGGCUUACCAAGGCAACGAUGCAUAGCCGACCUGAGAGGGUGAUCGGCCACACUGGAACUGAGACACGGUCCAGACUCCUACGGGAGGCAGCAGUAGGGAACCUUCCGCAAUGGGCGAAAGCCUGACGGAGCAACGCCGCGUGAGUGAUGAAGGUCUUCGGAUCGUAAAACUCUGUUAUUAGGGAAGAACAUAUGUGUAAGUAACUGUGCACAUCUUGACGGUACCUAAUCAGAAAGCCACGGCUAACUACGUGCCAGCAGCCGCGGUAAUACGUAGGUGGCAAGCGUUAUCCGGAAUUAUUGGGUGUAAAGCGCGCGUAGGCGGUUUUUUAAGUCUGAUGUGAAAGCCCACGGCUCAACCGUGGAGGGUCAUUGGAAACUGGAAAACUUGAGUGCAGAAGAGGAAAGUGGAAUUCCAUGUGUAGCGGUGAAAUGCGCAGAGAUAUGGAGGAACACCAGUGGCGAAGGCGACUUUCUGGUCUGUAACUGACGCUGAUGUGCGAAAGCGUGGGGAUCAAACAGGAUUAGAUACCCUGGUAGUCCACGCCGUAAACGAUGAGUGCUAAGUGUUAGGGGGUUUCCGCCCCUUAGUGCUGCAGCUAACGCAUUAAGCACUCCGCCUGGGGAGUACGACCGCAAGGUUGAAACUCAAAGGAAUUGACGGGGACCCGCACAAGCGGUGGAGCAUGUGGUUUAAUUCGAAGCAACGCGAAGAACCUUACCAAAUCUUGACAUCCUUUGACAACUCUAGAGAUAGAGCCUUCCCCUUCGGGGGACAAAGUGACAGGUGGUGCAUGGUUGUCGUCAGCUCGUGUCGUGAGAUGUUGGGUUAAGUCCCGCAACGAGCGCAACCCUUAAGCUUAGUUGCCAUCAUUAAGUUGGGCACUCUAAGUUGACUGCCGGUGACAAACCGGAGGAAGGUGGGGAUGACGUCAAAUCAUCAUGCCCCUUAUGAUUUGGGCUACACACGUGCUACAAUGGACAAUACAAAGGGCAGCGAAACCGCGAGGUCAAGCAAAUCCCAUAAAGUUGUUCUCAGUUCGGAUUGUAGUCUGCAACUCGACUACAUGAAGCUGGAAUCGCUAGUAAUCGUAGAUCAGCAUGCUACGGUGAAUACGUUCCCGGGUCU
rnacentral:rRNA from 1 species